UUGUUUCUCGCGAGGAGAACGGACAGAGAUGUGCUUUCAGUUACAAAUCUCCUACCGCUCUGAAACACAUCUGACCGCUCCUCUCUUUUUAUUACUUUCAGAAACCCUCGUACAUUGGGCGCUUUGCAACUUCUCAAAGGGAGGGGGAAAACAAUUCAUCACUAGUUGCGGCGCUAAUGACAUUCACUAUUUAGACACAUGUUAUCUACACUCUAAAUCCUUCUCCAGUCGAGUACCAGACACGGCCGGCGUUGAGUAAAACAAGUUGUAUAUCAUACAGGAGAGCAGAGUUCAUAGCUGGUCAAUAAUCUCUGUUGUC